ACUGUGCGCUGUUGUCACUUGCCACGUACAGCGGAAUCCAACGGGAAAAGCGCAACCGCCCCAUCAGGCACAGCUGUAGAAACCUUCUCAAGAAAUGUCAUAUCAAUGCGCCAGCGUCAGACAGUAAACUUCACAACAUGGACAAACUGCUGCAAGCACAUCCAUUUGUCGCUGAACAUACGCGCGUUACAAAUAUCCAAACCUAACGUUAAUUGACUUUCAGUAGAUUCUCAAGUGUUUAGGAAUUUCAUGCGCAUGGUUUAUCCAAUCUACUCACCAUUUUUUGGAGAUAAAUAAAUAUUAGAUUCCGUCUACGCCGCAACACGAGAUUAGUUACAGAGCAGAUCCAACAUCAUAAAUAUUCUCUGCAUCAUUUUAAGGACUGUAGGCAACUUUUCCACUGCUUUUUCCAAACGCGAUCCAACCACUCCCUGGCCCCGCCCUCCGCUGAUCUCUCAUUGGUUCAGCCUUUUGUUGCCGUUUUUUGAUUGGUUUCAAGUCAAGUCGAUCAGAUUCUCCGGGUCGAUGGACACACGCGUUCCAAUGUGUCACGUGAUGAGACUCGAACCGCUCUACUGCUUAUGCUUUACCACACAGCAUCCAGGAUAUGCAUGUGAAGGGUGUGCUCAUCUCCAGGAGCAGUGUCACCAUAGGGAGGAAAUGACCCUGCCAGUUCCACACAACCGCCCCUGCAAACCCCGCCAGGGCGAAGAAGUGGUGAACAGCUAACGGCAGGUCAAAGGAACGAAACACCACAUUGGACAUGUGGAGGGCCAUGUUUUCAAACAGGAAGAAGCCCGUAGAAGUUAGAAUGUUGAACCAGGACCAGUCUUCCUGUCCGAGAAUCUUAUCAGAGAAGAGAACAGAUUCCUCCAUGAGGGCCCGAAGACCUGCCACAAUGCCCUGAAUGCCAAACACAGCCCGUGUUGCAGCCAAAUCCCAGAAAACCUAGAAAAUUUUUAAAUGGUAGAACAUGUUAAUGAUUUUUUAAUAAAGAAUUUAAUAAAGGUCUAUUAUGAUUCAAAAGAG
rnacentral:lncRNA from 1 species